rnacentral:rRNA from 1 species
GUGAACGCUGGCGGUAGGCCUAACACAUGCCAGUCGAACGGCAGCACAGUAAGAGCUUGCUCUUACGGGUGGCGAGUGGCGGACGGGUGAGGAAUACAUCGGAAUCUACUUUUUCGUGGGGGAUAACGUAGGGAAACUUACGCUAAUACCGCAUACGACCUACGGGUGAAAGCAGGGGAUCUUCGGACCUUGCGCGAUUGGAUGAGCCGAUGUCGGAUUAGCUAGUUGGCGGGGUAAAGGCCCACCAAGGCGACGAUCCGUAGCUGGUCUGAGAGGAUGAUCAGCCACACUGGAACUGAGACACGGUCCAGACUCCUACGGGAGGCAGCAGUGGGGAAUAUUGGACAAUGGGCGCAAGCCUGAUCCAGCCAUACCGCGUGGGUGAAGAAGGCCUUCGGGUUGUAAAGCCCUUUUGUUGGGAAAGAAAAGCAGCAGGUUAAUACCCCGCUGUUCUGACGGUACCCAAAGAAUAAGCACCGGCUAACUUCGUG